UGAGCUACACAACUCCGAUUUCAGAUCCGUUUGUUUCUACGUGUUCCUAACUUCAAGGCCCACCUUUUCCACCGACCUAUGGCCUAUAUAAAGCCACCACCAUGUCGCAGUUUCGUUUUCCCUCCCUCCUCUCGAAAUCCUACAUCAACGAAAUCUUAACUCGUUGAUUUGACCACCAAAACUACCUCGAAUCGCUUCGGGCUCUACACGAAAGUUGUAGAUGUCGUCGAGAUCUUUCAAUCCCGACCAAUCACAUCUCUUAUCAUCCACCAUACACGGAUAAUUUCGCAUCGCAAGGUGUCAGACCUGACAAAGGGAAUCUUCAAUUAGUUCGUGCUUGUUGCACAAAAUCCAAAUUUCUUUGAUCUAUUUCGAGUUAACCGGAGCCAAAUCGAGUUUCAAAACGAUCUCGAAUCGUCAUGACUUCAACAAGGAAGUUGUUCCUCUCGUCAAGAUCUUUUCAUUGCCGCAAGUUUCACCUUGUUUCGUUGACCGAGCAAGGAGAAAAUCGUGUUACAAUAUUCAGAUCUUAUAAGUUCGUACGGAGAGGCACGUAUUUUGAUUAAGAGAAGUGAACGCGCUUCGACUACCAAAAGGCAA